GAUGAAGAACGUAGCGAAAUGCGAUAAGUAAUGUGAAUUGCAGAAUUCAGUGAAUCAUCGAAUCUUUGAACGCACAUUGCGCCCGCCAGUAUUCUGGCGGGCAUGCCUGUUCGAGCGUCAUUACAACCCUCAGGCCCCCGGGCCUGGCGUUGGGGAUCGGCGGAAGCCCCCUGCGGGCACAACGCCGUCCCCCAAAUACAGUGGCGGUCUCGCCGCAGCUUCCAUUGCGUAGUAGCUAACACCUCGCAACUGGAGAGCGGCGCGGCCACGCCGUAAAACACCCAACUUCUGAAUGUUGACCUCGAAUCAGGUAGGAAUACCCGCUGAACUUAAGCAUAUCAAUAAGCGGAGGA
rnacentral:misc_RNA from 1 species